GUCUAUGGCCAUGCCACCCUGAACACGCCUGAUCUCCUCUGAUCCAGAAGCUAAGCAGGGUUGGCCCAGUUAGCACUUGGAUCGGAGACCACCUAGGAAGACCAGGUGCUGUAGGUG
rnacentral:rRNA from 1 species